rnacentral:rRNA from 1 species
CAGUCGCCGCGGUAAUACAGAGGGUUCGAGCGUUAAUCGGAUUUACUGGGCGUAAAGCGUGCGUAGGCGGCUAAUUGAGUCGGAUGUGAAAUCCCCGAGCUUAACUUGGGAAUUGCAUUCGAUACUGGUUAGCUAGAGUGUGGGAGAGGAUGGUAGAAUUCCAGGUGUAGCGGUGAAAUGCGUAGAGAUCUGGAGGAAUACCGAUGGCGAAGGCAGCCAUCUGGCCUAAUACUGACGCUGAGGUACGAAAGCAUGGGGAGCAAACAGGAUUAGAUACCCGGGUAGUCCCUGUCUCUUAUAC